rnacentral:rRNA from 1 species
UACGUAGGGUGCGAGCGUUAAUCGGAAUUACUGGGCGUAAAGCGUGCGCAGGCGGUUCGCCAAGUCAGGUGUGAAAUCCCCGGGCUUAACCUGGGAAUUGCGCUUGAAACUAGCGGGCUUGAGUGUGGCAGAGGGGGGUGGAAUUCCACGUGUAGCAGUGAAAUGCGUAGAGAUGUGGAGGAACACCGAUGGCGAAGGCAGCCCCCUGGGUCAACACUGACGCUCGAUGCACGAAAGCGUGGGGAGCAAACAGG